UUCUCCUGCCCCUCCCGGCCUUCUAGGCCUUUUUCUUCCCCUUCAUUGUUCAAUCCCUCCCCCCUCUCUCUCUCAUUUACGGAACCCGAAUUGGGAUAUGAACUAGGCCGAGGACAAUCGCGUAGUUCCAUUCACCAAAUUUCUCAGAAGGAAAUGGCAGAAAGUGCAGCAUCGUCUCCAAAACCCCUCCAAACUUCAAACCCCAUCGACCCAACAUCAGCGACACAACCAACAACAAUAGCAGCACAAACGCCAACACCCACACCCUCAAUUCCUCAAAACCUGUCGAACCCACAGCCCAUCCCUUCCCCUUCCCCUCUCUCCCACUCCCACUCCCACUCCCCUUCUCUUGAUCAUAUCUCCUCUCCUCCCCAAAUCCCUCUUCCCCAAUUGCAACCACAGCCACAACAACACCACCACCAACAGCAGCAGCAGCUCACUCCAUCCGUUGGAUUAGAUUUCCAACAACAAAAGCAACUGCAACAAUCCCAACAGCAGCAAUCUCAGCAACAACAGAGUUUGACCCAGAAUGUCACUGCCAUGUCGAGUUAUCAAAUCCAGCAAAGCAUGCAACGCUCCUCGUCCAUGUCGCGGUUGAACCAAAUUCAGCAACAACAGUUUGGGGCUAUGAGGCAGCAGCAGCUUCAACAGCAGGGGCUUUAUGGGAAUGUGAAUUUUGGUGGGUCUGGUGGCAUUCAGCAGCAGACCCAGCAGCAACAGCAGCAAAAUCAGCAGCAGUUGGGUACUAGCGGGAACUUAUCCCGGUCAGCGCUGAUCGGGCAGAGCGGCCAUCUGCCCAUGUUGUCGGGCGCAGCUUCAGCGCAGUUCAAUCUGCAGUCCCAGUUGUUAGCUUCGCCGAGGCAGAAAUCUGGAUUGGUCCAAGGCUCUCAAUUCCAUUCAGGUAACUCGGGUCAAGCUUUGCAAGGAAUGCAAGCAAUGGGGAUGAUGGGGACACUCAAUUUGAGCUCGCAACUAAGAGCGAACGGCCCCCUCAGUUAUACCCAGCAAAUUAACCUGGGGCAGAUGAGGCAGCAAUUGCAACAACAAAGUUCUCUCAACUCUCCGCAGGUUCAAAGCUUACCCAGGAAAUCAUCACUGGCAUUUUUGAACCCUAAGUUAUCUGGAAUGACUCAGAAUGGGCAGCCAGCUAUGAUGCAGAAUGCUUUAUCACAGCAACAGUGGUUGAAGCAAAUUCCACAAAUCUCUGGUGCUGGUUCAGCUUCAUUCCGUAAUCAACAACAUCAGAGGCAGCAGCAAGUACUCAUGCAGCAGCAGUUGCACCAGAACUCCGUGGCCCUAAACCAACAGCAAUUAUCCCAACUGGUACAGCAGCAGCAACCAAUGGGGCAUCCUUCGCCACAGCAGCAACAACAGCAACUACAACAACCUGCACAACCACAAUUGCAACAACUGUCCUUGCAUCAGCAGCCGCAGCAGCAGUAUUCUCCAAGGGUGCCUGGACCCACAGGGCAGAAAUCCCUAAGUUUGACUGGAUCACAACCGGAUGCUACUGCAUCUGGUACAACGACACCAGGGGGGAGUUCCAGCCAUGGAACAGAAGCAACCAAUCAACUUCUUGGGAAAAGAAAAUUACAGGAUUUGGUCUCACAGGUGGAUUCACAGGGAAAGCUGGAUCCUGAAGUUCAAGAUCUUCUUUUAGAGAUUGCUGAUGACUUCAUUGAUUCUGUGACAACAUUCGCAUGCAGUUUGGCAAAACAUCGGAAAUCUUCAACUUUAGAGUCCAAGGAUUUAUUGCUACACCUAGAGAAAAAUUGGCAAUUGAACAUUCCGGGAUAUUCAAGUGAAGAGCGGAAGUACCAAAGCAAACCUUUAACAAGUGAUCUCCACAAGAAGCGUCUUGAUGUGAUACGCACAUUAAUGGAAACCCCACACUCCGAAACAAAUACAAGUAAUCCUAAAGAGAUGAUAAAGCAGGGACUUGGUAACCCAGCUGGUGCCAAUUACCUGGUACGACCCUUCUCUUAGUUCAAACAGCUAGUUUCCCAUUCUACUGGUCCCCAGAUGCUACAGAAGAUGACGCGAAUUUAGUAGAAAUGCACCCCGAAUUCUUAUUUUAUCUUAUGCUGCUUGGGUAUGACUUCAUGAACACCAUCGGUUGGAAGAAUGAAUAUAGAUUGCCAAUAGCAAAUAGCUGUAAUUACUUAGCAACUACAUGAACUAUAGGAGGGGGAGAUCGCAGCAGUCGACCAUCUUUUAUAAUGUUUCCUCAAUAGAUUUAUUAUCAUUUUGUUGGGGUGAGAAAUCAUAUGACAGAUAGAGCUCGUGCCUGCCCUCCAUUUAGCAGUCAAACGAUCGGGGUUGGGUGGGCUUUGCCUUUGUAUUCUACUCGAUUACUAGAGACAGGAUUUUCUUAUGUUUUGGACUGGGAUCCAUUUUUUAUCUGAAUUUGAAACAGAUUCAUGGUCAGGUGGGCUUUUAUUGUAAUAUAUUAUUGAUAAAUGCCUGCAUUUUGUUCUUUGAAAA